GUCCUGCAGAUGCAUAGAAAAAACAUCUAGAUGUAUUUUAUCCAUGUCCAUGUUCAGCCACAACUCUGUGAAACAUAGGAUAUUAGGUCCCGUGUGGCUCAGUUGGUAGAGCAUGGCGCUUGCAAUGCUGGGGUUUUGGAUUCGAUACGAAACAGACCAGUACGAAAAAGUAUGAAAAAUGUAUGCAGUUACUACUACUGUAAGUCGCUUUGGAUACGAGUGUCUGCUGAAUUACAGUUCUUCAGGUCCCAUUGAUAGGACAGUCUCGAACGGAGCUCAUCCAGCUUGUUCUCCAGAGAUUGUACGAUCGCCAAUAGAACGGGCAGUAGCUGCGGUUUAAGUACUCGCCAAAGCAGCUUCGUCAGGAUGCCCACACAUCGCCUCUCUUACACCGCCUUUUUCUUUUCCGGGGUGAGAUGUCCUGCGCCUCCGACUUGUUGAAGUAGAAAUCUUCAUCCAAAUUGAGGAAUGUCGAACCAUUCUCAGUAAACCCUAGACACUGUUGGGUGUGAAAAUCCCAGGUGGGCGGCUGUUGUGGAGAUACGGGAUCCAGUGCGCCUGGCACCGACGUGUAUACCAACACGCCUGGCAUCAUAUACAUGAGCGCCUGGCCUCCUUGUCCUGCUCCUCAACAGCACAUAAUACCACACCCUGAGGGACUCCUCAGCACAAUAACAACAUGCCAACCUUGAGAUCUGGGUACUUCUGCUGGAGCAUGGCUGUCUUUUCCGAUCGGCUGGCUGCCGUACACAGGGCUCCCCUACCCCCACAACACAGUCCAACCAGGGGCUUAGUGGGCACGCUCAGUGUGGCGCAACAGAGGAAGCAGCAGCUAAGUCCACCCCGCACGUUGUUUUCUGUGUUGGCUCAAUGUUCUGGUCUGAGAACAAGGAGGAACAGGUGCUGAGAUUAGGGAUCGAUUUAGCAUCAAUUGUUAUGCAUAGAGAACGAGGCAGAGAGAGAAACACAAAAGCACUAGGGUUGUGUUGGCGGUUUUUAUUAGGAAAGUAUGGUGAAGAGAUUAAAUCUGGCUAUCCUUUGACAUUCUAGCUGAUGUGUAAGCAUACCACCUCUGUUCAGAGAAGUCCAUUCUGCUCUUCUCUGGACAGACAACAAUGCCAAAAAACCUACAACUUCAGAGUGAGAAACUAGAUUUUUCUCACCCCACACAGCCACAUUUUUAUUCUAGGAGAGAAGGCAGAGGUGAAGCGUGAGGGUCCAAUCAGCUAUUUAAGGGGUGUUUUUGCCCUGGGUCUCCUGUUUGUCUAUUGGGGUUUAAUAACUUCAAUAAAACGGUAAGGGGUCAUGGCUCCCUCGCAGAGAUGAGAGGCUACGGCACUAACUAGCCAUUAGAGAGGAAAGGAGGGCAUAGGAAAUAGCCAUAACAAAUCUGCCCCAGUUAGCUGGCAGGCAUCAAUAAUAAGGGACUCCGGUUUCUCAAAUGUAUUCUCAUUUAAAUCAGCUUCACGUUAUGACCUCGGGCCAAGGGAGGCCAAGAGAACAUCCACUGUGGGUUAAGAAACAUGUUUCACACUUGAUGGUCAGAGCUGUCAUGCGGGACUUAACAUUUUUGGGGGGUUUAGUUUUAUUUACAAUAGCUUUAAAAAUAACAUUUUUUUGCUCUCACUUUCAUGAGUUAGACAGUUGUUUUGCAUCAUCUCUUGUUUUGUAGCUUCCUUUUUGUUUUAAAAUGAUCUUUAUUCCAUGUUAAAUAGGCUAUAAAUAAAUAUAUAUACCUAAACUGAAUUUAAAUGUAUUUGGCUCAGGUGUAUGUAAACUUCCGACUUCAACAUAUAUAUAUAUAUACUAAAUACU